AAAAUUUACUAACAUGUCAUUAUGUACAAGCUUGAAUGUGUAUCCCGGGUAUAUGAACAAAUACAAUGGAGUAUGGAGCAACAGUGAUUGGGUCGCGGAGGUUUGCUUCGACUGGAUCUAGCGAAGGUGAUACUCUUCUCUUGUGAACUCUUUGUUGCGAAGUUUGGAUGAGUGUGUUUGUUUUAUUUGUCGUUUUGAUGCCACCGCUAUUGUCUCAUUCUCAAUCGUAACACCUACUUCGGUUUUUGUAAUCCCGUCGAGGUUGAUCAGUAAGAUAGUCAUCCCAUUCUGUCAAAUUUAACCGAUAUUAAUUUACAUAUAAACCCAGUGUUAAAACUAUGAGGACCGUGCAAUACAGAUGUAAUUUAUACGUAGAGAAUUGCAUGUUUCUAACUGUA